UUAUUAUUUGCUUUUGUGUGAGGAACAAUAAUAUUGUUAGUAAAAUAUUAAUAAUCAAUAUAGGUUUAUUAUGAAAAAGAACUCUUGUUUGAGGCGAUAGUAUAAAGUAGUACUGUAUAGGAUAGUUUAAAAAUUAAUGAAAAGAAAAAUUUAGAGUCUGUACCUUUAGUAUCAGGGACAAUCAAAAUAUUUAGUUUGUAGAUUGAAAUCUCGAAGUUAAGUGAGUAAGCUUAUUAUAAAUGUUUAUGUAGAAAAAUGAAAUAAUUAAUAGUAAGUUAGAGGUGAAAUGCCAGUCGAGCUUAGUAUAUCUAGUUUUUUUUGAAGGAAAUUUAAUUUUUAACUUUACUUGAAAAAGUAAGGGUUUAAUUUUGGGGGGGACAAGCUCCUCAAGAGAUACUUGGAGAAAAAGAAUAUUAACUUUUGUCUCGGCUUGUAAUCAGCUAAGAUAAUAGUUCGUUUUAGAUAAUAAGGUUGAUAAAUAUUAUUUUUAUAAGUGCUAGUUAAAAUAGAAAAAGUUUUAUUAUAAUAUGUUAUUGUAUAUAUAUAAUGAUUGUAUUAGUAGAUUUAGAUAAUGUAAAAGAAAAAAAUUAAUUAUAAGUUCAAUUAUAAAAAUUUGAGUAGUUAUAUUCAAGGAACUCGGCAAAUCUAGCUUCUGCCUGUUUAUCAAAAACAUGUCUAUAUAGAAAAAAGAUAUAUAGUCUAACCUGCCCACUGAGAAAUUUAAAGGGCCGCGGUAUUUUGACCGUGCUAAGGUAGCAUAAUAAAUAGUCUUCUAAUUGGAGUCCGGUAUGAACGGUUGGACAUGAAGUUACCUGUCUUGGGGGUAUAUGUUGAAUUUUACUUUUAAGUGAAAAGGCUUAAAUUGAGUGGGGGGACGAUAAGACCCUAUAAAGCUUUAUAUUUUGUAUAGUAAUUAUAGAGUAUUAAGUUUUUUUAUGUUACUAGAUAAAGUAUUUCGUUGGGGCGACGAGAAUAUAAUAUAUAGGUAACUGUUCUUAAGAUAAAAUAAGUAUUGUUAGAGAGGUUGAUCCUUUGUAAAGAUUAUAAGAGUUAAGUUACUUUAGGGAUAACAGCGUAAUUUUUUUUGAGAGUUCAUAUCGACAGAAUUAGUUGCGACCUCGAUGUUGAAUUAAGAUGUUUUUAAGGUGUAGAAGCUUUAGUAGUAGGUCUGUUCGACCUUUAAAAUCUU
rnacentral:rRNA from 1 species